GGGGUUGUGGCUCAGGGGUAGAGCACUCACCUGGAUGUGCAGAGCCCUGGGUUCAAUCCUCAGCACCACA
rnacentral:tRNA from 1 species